GCAAGUCGAACGAGAACGGACUAUAACUUUCUAUAGUUGUCAGCUAAGUGGCGCACGGGUGAGUAAUAUAUAGGUAACGUGCCCUAGAGAGGGGGAUAACAUUUGGAAACGAAUGCUAAUACCCCAUAUGCCUUUAAGUCUUAAGACUGCAAGGGAAAUAUUUAUAGCUCUAGGAUCGGCCUGUACGGUAUCAGUUUGUUGGUGAGGUAAUGGCUCACCAAGACGAUGACGCCUAACUGGUUUGAGAGGAUGAUC
rnacentral:rRNA from 1 species